AGGCUUAACACAUGCAAGUCGAGGGGCAUCAGGGUGUAGCAAUACACCGCUGGCGACCGGCGCACGGGUGAGUAACACGUAUCCAACCUGCCCUUUACUCGGGGAUAGCCUUUCGAAAGAAAGAUUAAUACCCGAUGGUAUAACAUGACCUCCUGGUUUUGUUAUUAAAGAAUUUCGGUAGAGGAUGGGGAUGCGUUCCAUUAGGCAGUUGGCGGGGUAACGGCCCACCAAACCUUCGAUGGAUAGGGGUUCUGAGAGGAAGGUCCCCACAUUGGAACUGAGACACGGUCCAAACUCC
rnacentral:rRNA from 1 species